rnacentral:tRNA from 1 species
GCAGUGAUGGUUCAGUGGUAGAACUCUCGCCUUCCAUGAGAGAGACCCAGGUUCGAUUCCCGGCCAAUGUA